UACGUAGGGUGCAAGCGUUGUCCGGAAUUAUUGGGCGUAAAGAGCUCGUAGGCGGUCUGUCGCGUCGGAUGUGAAAACCCAGGGCUCAACCCUGGGCCUGCAUUCGAUACGGGCAGACUAGAGUUCGGUAGGGGAGACUGGAAUUCCUGGUGUAGCGGUGAAAUGCGCAGAUAUCAGGAGGAACACCGGUGGCGAAGGCAGGUCUCUGGACACUUACUGACGCUGAGACGCGAAAGCGUGGGGAGCAAACAGG
rnacentral:rRNA from 1 species